AAAUUUUACCAAUAAUUAUGAUGCUAAAAAAGUAAUAGAAAUUAUUAAUCUAAAAAAUAACGAAGAAAUCAAGUCUCUAUUAUAAACGUUGGUCGUUCUACUUAACAGGUAAAAUGAGCUCGUUUAAAAAUAAAUUAAAAUAUCGUGCUCUUUCUUUUUUUUGCUUUCUUCAAAAGCAGUUUUAGCAUGAAAAUUCACCAUUCUCUGGCCACGAAUCUAUUUCACGCUCG